rnacentral:rRNA from 1 species
AGGUUACUGCUAUCGAGGUUCGACUAAGCCAUGCGAGUCGAAUGUAGCAAUACAUGGCGUACUGCUCAGUAACACGUGGAUAACCUGCCCUUGAGACGGGGAUAAACCCGGGAAACUGGGUAUAAUACCCGAUAGAUCUCGGCUGCUGGAAUGCACCGAGUUCUAAAGCUCCGGCGCUCAAGGAUGGAUCUGCGGCCUAUCAGGUAGUAGUGGGUGUAGCGUACCUACUAGCCUACGACGGGUACGGGUUGUGAGAGCAAGAGCCCGGAGAUGGAUUCUGAGACACGAAUCCAGGCCCUACGGGGUGCAGCAGGCGCGAAAACUUUACAAUGCUGGAAACAGCGAUAAGGGGACCUCGAGUGCCAGGUUACAAAUCUGGCUGUCGUGAUGCCUAAAAAGCAUUGCAUAGCAAGGGCCGGGCAAGACCGGUGCCAGCCGCCGCGGUAACACCGGCGGCUCGAGUGGUAACCGUUAUUAUUGGGUCUAAAGGGUCUGUAGCCGGCCGGAUAAGUCUCUUGGGAAAUCUGGCAGCUUAACUGUCAGGCUUUCAGGAGAUACUGUCUGGCUCGAGGCCGGGAGAGGUGAGAGGUACUUCAGGGGUAGGGGUGAAAUCUUGUAAUCCUUGAAGGACCACCAGUGGCGAAGGCGUCUCACCAGAACGGACCUGACGGCAAGGGACGAAAGCUAGGGGCACGAACCGGAUUAGAUACCCGGGUAGUCCUAGCCGUAAACGAUACUCGCUAGGUGUCGGCCACGGUGCGACCGUUGUCGGUGCCGUAGGGAAGCCGUGAAGCGAGCCACCUGGGAAGUACGGCCGCAAGGCUGAAACUUAAAGGAAUUGGCGGGGG